rnacentral:rRNA from 1 species
CGUGUAGGCGGCCAGACAGGUCAGCUGUGAAAACUCGAGGCUCAACCUCGAGACGUCGGUUGAAACCGUCUGGCUAGAGUCCGGAAGAGGAGAGUGGAAUUCCCGGUGUAGCGGUGGAAUGCGCAGGUAUCGGGAAGAACACCCGUGGCGAAGGCGGCUCUCUGGGACGGUACUGACGCUGAGACGCGAAAGCGUGGGGAGCGAACA